rnacentral:rRNA from 1 species
UAUACCGUGAAACUGCGAAUGGCUCAUUAAAUCAGUUAUCGUUUAUUUGAUAGUACCUUACUACUUGGAUAACCGUGGUAAUUCUAGAGCUAAUACAUGCUUAAAACCUCAACUUCGGGAGGGGUGUAUUUAUUAGAUAAAAAACCAACGCCCUUCGGGGCUUCUUGGUGAUUCAUGAUAACUUUACGGAUCGCAUGGCCUUGCGCCGGCGACGGUUCAUUCAAAUUUCUGCCCUAUCAACUUUCGAUGGUAAGGUAUUGGCUUACCAUGGUUUCAACGGGUAACGGGGAAUUAGGGUUCGAUUCCGGAGAGGGAGCCUGAGAAACGGCUACCACAUCCAAGGAAGGCAGCAGGCGCGCAAAUUACCCAAUCCCGACACGGGGAGGUAGUGACAAUAAAUACUGAUACAGGGCUCUUUUGGGUCUUGUAAUUGGAAUGAGUACAAUUUAAACCUCUUAACGAGGAACAAUUGGAGGGCAAGUCUGGUGCCAGCAGCCGCGGUAAUUCCAGCUCCAAUAGCGUAUAUUAAAGUUGUUGCAGUUAAAAAGCUCGUAGUUGAAACUUGGGUCUGGCUGGCAGGUCCGCCUCACCGCGUGUACUUGUCCGGCCGGGCCUUCCUUCUGGAGAACCUCAUGCCCUUUACUGGGCGUGUUGGGGACCAGGACUUUUACUUUGAAAAAAUUAGAGUGUUCAAAGCAGGCCUUUGCUCGAAUACGUUAGCAUGGAAUAAUAGAAUAGGACGUGCGGUCCUAUUUUGUUGGUUUCUAGGACCGCCGUAAUGAUUAAUAGGGACAGUCGGGGGCAUCAGUAUUCAAUUGUCAGAGGUGAAAUUCUUGGAUUUAUUGAAGACUAACUACUGCGAAAGCAUUUGCCAAGGAUGUUUUCAUUAAUCAGUGAACGAAAGUUAGGGGAUCGAAGACGAUCAGAUACCGUCGUAGUCUUAACCGUAAACUAUGCCGACUAGGGAUCGGGCGAUGUUCUUUUUCUGACUCGCUCGGCACCUUACGAGAAAUCAAAGUU